AGCCACUGUGCGUGGAGCUGCGUUUUGCUGCCGCCUGGUUCGGGAAGUUGAGUGCAUGUCAGGAAUCUGUGACACGGGGACUUAGCAGCACUGUUACCUGGCAGGCAGCAAUGAGCGUGCUGCACACUCAGCAGGUGAGCUCAGCCAUAUCCAUCCAUUUCUGCUGGAGACUUUGCAGCAUCACCUGGUAGGAGAUCCCAGCCAUCCAUAUGGAGAUUCAUUCUGGGGAAAGAAGAGCAAGAAGAGAUGCAUUAUUAUUCAGAAGCAGGAGAGGGUGGCAUGGUUGGAAGUGCUCCUGUCCAGCGGGAUAGCCAGUCUGAGCAGUGAGCCCACAGUUUAAAGGAAAAUUCAGCUUCAGAAAACAGCAUGAGCAUUUGUUCUGUGGGAUGGAGUGCAGAGUGUCUACUCUAAAACAAUUCCCCUGAAGAUGUCCUUACAGACACGGUGUGCUCGCUCAUCUGUCAUACUCCUUCAGGAUCCUUAGAAAUCAGUGCAAUUCAUGGCUUGGAUGUUCCAUGCACCAAACACAGAUUUGCACCAGCAGUGCACGGGAGCUCAGCACCAGUCUCAGUGAAUCUCUCUGGCGAGCAAAAGCCUCAUGGGGUUGUUUGGGGUGCAAUGUGUCCUGGCUGGGAGCUCUCCAUUACUGAUUGGCAGGAGGGCAGGCAGACAAAAUGCAACUUCUGAAUGCCCAGAAAGGCAAAGAAUUUUAAAUGCUUGUGAAAAUGAGAUAAUGGAGCAGAAAAUAAUGGGAGAGAAUGAGUCAAUAUUUAAUAGCGCUCAUAUCUGAACAUAAAGCAGCACUUUCUGCAUGCACAUGGACAAAGGCCAGGCUAGAUGCAUAUCUGUGUACCCGUCUGUCAGCUUCAAACUGGCUGCGAACACUGCAGCUAUCGAAGAAGUGUCAGAGUCAGUUUUAAGGCAGGGACAUCUUUUAGCCUCGGUGAAUUGCUUUUAUUAAUUGCAAAAAUACUCUCCUCUCCCUUCUCUCCAGUGCGCCUGGUAGCACGUGGGCCCCAGAGCUGCCCCACAGCCCCAGCGCGGGACAAAGCCGUCCUUGUGCCGGGACGGGAGCGCGGCUCGGGGCGCUUCCACGCAGCGCUUGGGCGCGAGUGCCGCACAAGUUUCCAUUGUUAUGCUCUCGACAAAGAACUCCCCAGGACUGUUAGGCAACAGGAAUAAAAUUAAUUCAAUUUUUUCAGCUGAUAGAAGCUGUUUAGAGGCCUUAAAUGAGUUUCAGAACUCACGAGAAAAAUAUAGAUUUCAGUUUGCAGGGCUGAUGAAUAACAUUUGUCUCUCGACAAGCAGGGGGAAGCUUUGUGAGCACUGAGAUUGCUUAUCUCUGCAAACACCAUGACCAGAGCCUGCAUUCUGAAGUGGGUUCCCAGGUCCUGUCAGCUCUUUGUGCCAAGAUCUCACUGAGCUCUGAGCUCCCAGCAGCUGCUCAGACAACGUGGCAUGGCAGCACUUCUUUUGCCCUUGCUUUAGAAUUGUAGAACCAUAGAAUCAUUAAGGUUGGAAAAGAUCUCUAAGGUUAUCAAGUCUAACCAUCAACCCAUGCCCACUAAGCCAUGUUUUUAAAGGCAGGGACUUCCAGUUUUCCCAGUGAAGGAUGCCUGUAUACACACCAACACAAGGAAUAUGAUGUGAGCUCUGUUAGCAGAGCUUUUGGGGUCCCACCAACAUGGUCACUGGUUAAGGAUGGGAUGCAGGUUCUCCAUGUGCAGCUGCAGCCCACGAGGUUCUGCCCUGCCACGAGACCAUGAGGAGCAAAAUCAGCAUCCCAGCUUUGGUCAUCACCAAACUGCCAUGCCCACCAUGAGCUUCAGCACAACUUUUGGUUCCAAAGCUAAAUAGAACAAGAGGUCAACAAUGCAGAUUCUCCCAUACAGCUUCCCCUUUGUAACCAGUUCUGAAUGUCCGCGCUUCUGUUUUGAGGCAGAAAUAGCAAAAGUUCACACUGAAUCAUUUACUGCCUCAGCAAAACAGGGCUGAAGGCAGCCUGGUGUGCUUCGGCUGAACCCAGAUGAGAGAGAAUGGAUACAGGGAGGGUAAGGAGGAUUUGCUACUUCUUUAAUAGCCUUUUAAAGAAACCAGCCCUGAGGAUUUGCCAAUAGCUGGCCCUGCCUGUGGAGCCCCCAGUAGCGUCCUAAACUACAGCACAUCUCUGUCUGAUGGUCAUGGCCAUGUGUGGGGGGCAGCACCAGCACAGAAGCACCACAGCACUGGGCAGUUGCAUCCCAAGCCCUUGUGCAUCUGGAGGAGC
ensembl:lncRNA